UACGUAGGGGGCUAGCGUUGUCCGGAAUCAUUGGGCGUAAAGCGCGUGUAGGCGGUUCGGUAAGUCCGCUGUGAAAGUCGGGGGCUCAACCCUCGAAUGCCGGUGGAUACUGUCGAACUAGAGUGCGGAAGAGGCGAGUGGAAUUCCUGGUGUAGCGGUGAAAUGCGCAGAUAUCAGGAGGAACACCGGUGGCGAAGGCGGGUCUCUGGGUCGAUAUUGACGCUGGAGGAGCGAAAGCGUGGGGAGCGAACAGG
rnacentral:rRNA from 1 species